rnacentral:snRNA from 1 species
UAGCCAAUGAGGUUUAUUGAGGCAUGAUUAUUGCUAAUUGAAAACUUUU